CUCCAGUUGGAUGCAUGUCCUUCUGGGAAAGAUUCAUCGGUAUGGGAUGGGGUCGCGUCCUAUCAGCUUGAUGGCGGGGUAACGGCCCACCAUGGCGUCGACGGGUAGCCGGCCUGAGAGGGCGACCGGCCACAUUGGGACUGAGAUACGGCCCAGACUCCUACGGGAGGCAGCAGUGGGGAAUAUUGCACAAUGGGCGCAAGCCUGAUGCAGCGACGCCGCGUGCGGGAUGACGGCCUUCGGGUUGUAAACCGCUUUUGACUGGGAGCAAGCCCUUCGGGGUGAGUGUACCUUUCGAAUAAGCACCGGCUAACUACGUGCCAGCAGCCGCGGUAAUACGUAGGGUGCAAGCGUUAUCCGGAAUUAUUGGGCGUAAAGGGCUCGUAGGCGGUUCGUCGCGUCCGGUGUGAAAGUCCAUCGCUUAACG
rnacentral:rRNA from 1 species